AAUCAACGCUGGCGGCGUGCCUAACACAUGCAAGUCGCACGAGAAAGGGCAGCAAUGCCUGAGUACAGUGGCGCACGGGUGAGUAACACGUGAAUGAUCUACCUCCGAGUGGGGAAUAACUGAGAGAAAUCUUAGCUAAUACCGCAUAACACUUACGAGUCAAAGCAGCAAUGCGCUUGGAGAGGAGUUCGCGGCAGAUUAGUUAGNGGCGGGGUAAUGGCCCACCAAGACGAUGAUCUGUAUCCGGCCUGAGAGGGCGCACGGACACACUGGAACUGAAACACGGUCCAGACUCCUACGGGAGGCAGCAGUGGGGAAUUUUGCGCAAUGGGGGAAACCCUGACGCAGCAACGCCGCGUGGAGGAUGAAAUCCCUUGGGAUGUAAACUCCUUUCGAUCGGGAAGAUAAUGACGGUACCGAGAG
rnacentral:rRNA from 1 species